GAAUCGAGUCUGGACUUGGACCUGGAUGAUGGGAGCCCACUUUCUACCCCUUCCUCUCCUCAUCAUUCAGGAGAGAGCCUGUUUGCUGCUCUGGAAGCCAAGACUACCUCUGUGGCACAGACUUCCCAAGUGUACGUAGACUUAUGACAUGAAGAGCAUGCAAGGGAUACUGUGAAUGUAAACAACUAACGGCCUAAACCAGUACACAGAACAUACUCUACGAUCUCUUUAGAGUUUUAAACAGUUUCUGCAUCUUGUCCUUCAAGAAACUUCAGAUUUCAGUAUCAUAUUAUUAUUGUGAGAAGAGAAGGACUGAAAUAAGGGACUGAGCAUGGGAAAGCUUUUGGGAUUGGGGUUUGCCUGUAUGUUGCUUAGAAUAUACUUUAUUGAUUAAUUUCUUUUCUUUGGUAUGUACUUCUUUACUUUAACCUUCAUAUGAUUCAUAGGCUUUCUCAUAUUUCUUUUCUGUGUUAGGGUUACCUUUGUGGUGUUGGGAUCUGUACCUCUUUGUGAUGGCUGGUGUUGGUUCUUAAGAUUCUGAGCUUUAAUUAGAUAUCAUGGGAUUGAAAUAUUUUGAUUGAUAGUUUCACUGAGAUAAAGCUUUUUACUAUCGUUCAACUUUGAUAUAAACAGGUAUCAUAUGAAUAAUUGCAUUUAGCUAGCAAAAAAGUGAUAAUGAGGAAAGGGUACUGUUCAUCUUUGACAGCCUUUGAGAUUCAGGGAUCAUUGUUAAAUAGGGUACAAAUAUUGACAAUUUUGGCUUUUUUUAUUUAUUAUUAUUUUUUUUUAUAUACUGCAAUGAUGGAAAUGAUUUUGUGCAUUUUUCAUCAUGAGUAAAAAUAUCCAAUUUCAACAAGUUUCUUUGUAUGACAGCUGAACUAAUAAGUGUGGAAUACGAAGAAGAGAAACAAGUGUAGAAUUUUUCUUCUUAUAAAUAGAUAUAUAGCAAAUGGGUGUUACUAGUGGACAGAACUACUCAUGUGUGAUUUUUACCUUUCUUUUUUUAGUAAUUGACAGCCAUCAUACUUUUGAAGAGCUAUUAUUUUGAAUAUUGAAAUUUUAUUAUUUUCAUAUUUUUUUCCUUUAUUUUAUUUAUUGAAUAAGAUGUAUAAAACAUUUACUCAUGUAAAAUUAAAUAAUAGUAGAAGCAUUGAGCUUUUCCUGUGAACCAUGAAUAUGUUAAACUACCUCUGUAUAUAUUUUGUAACAAUUUAACCACUGUAUAUAUUUUUCCAUGUAUUUUCACUUCAAGUUGUAAAUAUGAAACUUCCAAUUGAAGGUAUUAUGGUGAAAUAGGUGCACAACUUUCUUUUGAUUAUACAUGUCAAGAAGAACCAUCAUUGGUAAAAAAAAAAAAGGAGUAAAUUUAUACACAUACAUAAAAGUAUUUCAUGAAUAUAACCUAUUUUCGCCAAGGGAUACUUUAGAUCAUUAUUAGUGUAGUUAUCGUGAUUAUCAAUACUUCAUCAUAUAUUAGGAAUAGGAUGAACUUUUCUAGUUUUUGUUCCCUUGUAUCAUGUAUGCUAAUACCAUGCUAACAGUAGCAUUUCCAUUGUUCAGAAGGGAAAAGAAAGAAAGGAUAGAAGAAAUACAAGACAUAAAUAUUAUUUAUACAUUAAAAUCACCAUUGUUCCAUUUUUUUUCUGAAACAUUUAAUUUCCAUAUUUAUGUACAUAUGAACAUAAUAUUGAUUAUUUGUAAUAUCACAGUAUUUGUCAGCCAGAUAAACAUUUUGUAAUUUUCUUACUGAUGUAGAAAACUAUAGAUAUAUUGUAUUAAGGUUCCUAUGUUCUCUUUAAACUACAUCAUUACUGUCAUUCUUUAUACUUCAGGUUGAUUGCAAGAUGGAGAAAGGUAUCAAGGAUUGUGUGCAAAGUAUUUGAACCAUCCUUUAGCCAUCCUGCUAUAUCUUUUACUGCAAAGCAUGUGCCUUGUCUCCUAUUGCGGAAUAUCCCUAGGUGCAUGUCACUUGUUCUAUCCCACAAAGCUAAUGAAAGUAUAAUUAGUGGUUCUAUGGUAGAUUUGAAGUGUGAUGGAAUCUUGUUUUGCAAACUGUAACCUAUGUCCAUGUUUUGUCUUUAUUCAGUGUCUGCUGUUAGUCAUAGACAGAAGACAGAACCUCAUAUAUAACAUUCUAAGUGUUAAGUUUAUUACUUUCUGCACAUUUCUUCCUUAGUGAUACUGGUUCUUCAUCCUUUGCUUAUGAAGUAUGUGCUCAUUGGUUUAGUGUAUGUAAAAGUAUUUUAUUAUUUACAUUUUAUUUUUGUAUUUUUCCAGACAUGAAGGAUUCCUGAUUUGGUAUAUUUUCAGACGAGAUUAAUGUUGUAUGUUUUUUGUUUUUUUUUAAUGAAUUGGGGUCCUUUCUUUGUAUAUAUGCAUCUUUAUGUGUAUAUGCUUGAAAUACUAGCUGUUGUAUAAGUGUACUUGCAAAUUCAGAUAUGUAAGGGUAUUUGCCAUGUUUCUGUUGAUAUGUAAAUACUUUUUCAUCUUAAGCAUUUUUGUAUUUUGAUCCCCCCUGCAAGAGAUUUUUUUUUUUUCAGUUUAAAAUUAUGCCAAAGAUAAAAAGAAUCAGUACAUACACUGUUUGUACCUGACCCUCGCAAUUAAACCAUGUAUUUGACAAAGGCUGAUUCUGUUGAUUUUAUAAAUGCUGUAAAUGCAAUGGAAAUGUUAUAUUAUCUUAUUUUAUGUAAUAUUUUGUUGAUUUGUGCUAUACAUUGUCAUUUUUG